rfam:Eucalyptus grandis cultivar BRASTZ1 unplaced genomic scaffold scaffold_1, whole genome shotgun sequence.
AGGCAGUGAUGAUCCGAAAACACAUACCAUCAAACUCUGAAGCCCGAUCAGGGCCCGUUGAUGCGAUCGAUAAUCGAGAUUCUCUGAGCCU